rnacentral:rRNA from 1 species
GACGAACGCUGACGGCGUGCUUAACACAUGCAAGUCGAACGGUGAAGCGCCUUCCUUUUUGGUGGGUGUGGAUGAGUGGCGAACGGGUGAGUAACACGUGAGUAACCUGCCCCCUUCUUCUGGAUAACCGCAUGAAAGUGUGGCUAAUACGGGAUAUUCUGGGUCUGUCGCAUGAUGGGUCUGGGAAAGAUAUUGUUUCGGUGGGGGAUGGGCUCGCGGCCUAUCAGCUUGUUGGUGGGGUGAUGGCCUACCAAGGCGGUGACGGGUAGCCGGCCUGAGAGGGUGGACGGUCACACUGGGACUGAGACACGGCCCUGACUCCUACGGGAGGCAGCAGUGGGGAAUAUUGCACAAUGGGCGCAAGCCUGAUGCAGCGACGCCGCGUGAGGGAUGGAGGCCUUCGGGUUGUGAACCUCUUUCGCCAGUGAAGCAGGCCUGCCUCGUUUGUGGGUGGGUUGACGGUAGCUGGAUAAGAAGCGCCGGCUAACUACGU